rnacentral:tRNA from 1 species
AGGGAGACAACACAAUGAUUUUGAUGCCUGAGUACUUUUAUUCUUAGGCCGAAAUCCUGUCACCUUAGGUCGAUCGGUACCUCAGCUUUGAAGUCAAGGAUCAGCAGCAAUGUUGAUGGCUUGAUGGAGAUUUUCAGUUCCUAAACUUUGUCUAGGUCACACCCCAAAAGGGAUGAGACUCCUGGGCCAUUAGCUCAGGUGGUUAGAGCGCACCCCUGAUAAGGGUGAGGUCCCUGGUUCAAGUCCAGGAUGGCCCAUUCGGUGUUGGGGGUUUAGCUCAGUUGGUAGAGCGCCUGCUUUGCAAGCAGGAUGUCAGGAGUUCGAGUCUCCUAACCUCCACUGACCGAACUUGAUUCCCAUCUCCAAGUUGUUGGAGUUGAGCUCGAUUGGAGUGUGAUUUAGAUGUGUCCGCUGGAUGACCCCAGCUUCCUGUCAUUCCAAGUUUUAAGCUUAAGGCUUUGAAUUUGGUUGAUAAGAUGCUGGGCUCGGAUCGAAUGAUCAAGCAAUUGAUGAUUUGAUUUGAAGUUCUAGCAGAACCUUGACAACUGCAUAGGUGAAGUCUGGAAAAACAAAGCAUCUUACAGAUGCAUUGUUUUGAGUCUGAUCUUUCGAAAGAGAGAUUGGAUCCAGAACAAUGAAAAUUCUUUUGAGCAAGAGCCGAGACUCUUGAAUGUUCUUUGAUUCGUGUCGAGCGAAUCAGAGUUUGAUCUUGUUUUUAGCGAUAAAAACUUGAAAAUCUGCUUUCAACGGCGGUAAGCGUUCAAGAGGUUAAUU